AUGAACGCUAGCUACAGGCUUAACACAUGCAAGUCGAGGGGCAGCAUGGUCUUAGCUUGCUAAGGCCGAUGGCGACCGGCGCACGGGUGAGUAACACGUAUCCAACCUGCCGUCUACUCUUGGACAGCCUUCUGAAAGGAAGAUUAAUACAAGAUGGCAUCAUGAGUCCGCAUGUUCACAUGAUUAAAGGUAUUCCGGUAGACGAUGGGGAUGCGUUCCAUUAGAUAGUAGGCGGGGUAACGGCCCACCUAGUCUUCGAUGGAUAGGGGUUCUGAGAGGAAGGUCCCCCACAUUGGAACUGAGACACGGUCCAAACUCCUACGGGAGGCAGCAGUGAGGAAUAUUGGUCAAUGGGCGAGAGCCUGAACCAGCCAAGUAGCGUGAAGGAUGACUGCCCUAUGGGUUGUAAACUUCUUUUAUAAAGGAAUAAAGUCGGGUAUGCAUACCCGUUUGCAUGUACUUUAUGAAUAAGGAUCGGCUAACUCCGUGCCAGCAGCCGCGGUAAUACGGAGGAUCCGAGCGUUAUCCGGAUUUAUUGGGUUUAAAGGGAGCGUAGAUGGAUGUUUAAGUCAGUUGUGAAAGUUUGCGGCUCAACCGUAAAAUUGCAGUUGAUACUGGAUAUCUUGAGUGCAGUUGAGGCAGGCGGAAUUCGUGGUGUAGCGGUGAAAUGCUUAGAUAUCACGAAGAACUCCGAUUGCGAAGGCAGCCUGCUAAGCUGCAACUGACAUUGAGGCUCGAAAGUGUGGGUAUCAAACAGGAUUAGAUACCCUGGUAGUCCACACGGUAAACGAUGAAUACUCGCUGUUUGCGAUAUACAGCAAGCGGCCAAGCGAAAGCGUUAAGUAUUCCACCUGGGGAGUACGCCGGCAACGGUGAAACUCAAAGGAAUUGACGGGGGCCCGCACAAGCGGAGGAACAUGUGGUUUAAUUCGAUGAUACGCGAGGAACCUUACCCGGGCUUAAAUUGCAGAUGAAUUACGGUGAAAGCCGUAAGCCGCAAGGCAUCUGUGAAGGUGCUGCAUGGUUGUCGUCAGCUCGUGCCGUGAGGUGUCGGCUUAAGUGCCAUAACGAGCGCAACCCUUGUUGUCAGUUACUAACAGGUCAUGCUGAGGACUCUGACAAGACUGCCAUCGUAAGAUGUGAGGAAGGUGGGGAUGACGUCAAAUCAGCACGGCCCUUACGUCCGGGGCUACACACGUGUUACAAUGGGGGGUACAGAGGGCCGCUACCACGCGAGUGGAUGCCAAUCCCAAAAACCUCUCUCAGUUCGGACUGGAGUCUGCAACCCGACUCCACGAAGCUGGAUUCGCUAGUAAUCGCGCAUCAGCCACGGCGCGGUGAAUACGUUCCCGGGCCUUGUACACACCGCCCGUCAAGCCAUGGGGGCCGGGGGUACCUGAAGUGCGUAACCGCGAGGAGCGCCCUAGGGUAAAACUGGUGACUGGGGCU
rnacentral:rRNA from 1 species